GAUGCAUUGACUUUAUGAUCCAAUGGCAAACACUAACUUCUACUAAAUGAUUUAUUUGUGACAAACAAACUGCUCAAAACAUGUUUGCUAACAUCUACCAACAAAUUGAAUUUUGAAAGUUAUCUUCUUCAAUGCAAGGUGUCUUGAUGCUUCUGGAGACCUGUCUAAAGGUUAGUUAAAUUGUGGAGUGAAGACAGAAAACUGGCAACUCAGAUGCAAAUGAAAGAUGUGUUCAAAAUAGAGAAAGGUCAAUAAAAAGGCAACUGGAAAAAGGAGAGAAAGUAAUGCGGUCGUAAAUACCUUGUGGGGUCAAAACACAGCAAGUACAAAACAGGAAUAAUGGUGUUAAAUGAAAAAAACUGGGAAGGAGCCAAGGGGCUAUAUGAGACAAGGAAAUCAGAAAAGCUUCAGAAAGAGAGAGCCUGAAGAAAAAAUUCCAAAAAAGGGAAACAAGUUAAUAAAAAGCACUUUAUUACUUUAUGCCGUAAUUGUCAUGGGUUCUGGGCAGGCACUGGCAUUCUAUGCGGGGAACUUAAUGACCAUGGCCAUGGACUCAAGACAAAAGACAGCAGUGUGGGCAGAAAACCUUGACUAAACAUAGGGAAGACCUGUGCUAGAGGCUUAGGUUCAUAUGUUUAUUUUGCUUUAAAUCUUUGCCCACAUUUAUUUCUAAAAUUUGCUAACAUUACUAACAACAAUAUCAACUUAAUUUGCAGGGCCAUCACUAAAAAUAUCAAUGAAAAAGAACAUGAUCCAAAUACACCUUGUGAUACCAUGAUGAAUUCAUACAGUAGCUGAAUAAAUUAACAAGGUUAAUUUUUAUAACUUUUCCCUUUUUAUUACUUAUAAUGUUAAUGAAAAUCUUAUGAAUUUUGCUUUGAAAUAUCAUUCUACAAUGAAUCAAUCACAUCUCUUUUGUAGAGUGGGUGUUAUGAAAUAGGUUUGAUUAAAAUGUUUUGUUCCUUUGCUUUUAUGUUUUUCUGAACUUUUCCAUACCCAAUUUGGGUUUUGAAGUACGCAGAUUUCAAUUUUGAUAAUAAUUUUCUGUUAUAAAAUGUAUUGAACCCUUUCGGCCCAGACAUCCUAUUACUAGUACAUAUAUAUGCAGCCAUUUUUGUAAAGCACAGGUACGUUUUUAGCCGUUGGAACUGGGCAUGCUACUAUUAGCGCAGACUGGAGAGACUGGCAUACGGUCCACGAAACACGGAGGUGAAAAUGGACAUUUCCGCACUGUGCACACCACUUUCAGUUUUUUUUCCUCAAGAAGAUUGAAGUAAUUGGCAGCUAUUGUAUAAUAAUAGUGAUAUUUUUUUUGUUUUUUCAUUUUUCAACUUCCUAGACACACCAAACAUACAAUAUCUCACAAAAUACUUUUUCCUAUAAAAACAGAAAAUCCAGGGCCGAAAGGGUUAAAAUGGUUCAGUUAUUUCAGUGUUGUUUUCCAAUACCAUUUUGUUUACAUUGGGUGCCACCAUUUUGUGGAGCAGUGUCUACGCUGUUACUAGGGGCUCAUGCCAGGAGGUAUAAACGUGGGAUGUCACUGGUGCAAUGUGUUUAAGGUCAGCUCAAUGCAAUUGGUACCCAAGAUUAUGGGUAACGUCCUCGAGACUUUGCAUGCAAAUUUUGUCUGUUUUGUUUUUACCUGGUUUUUGAACUUUUGCUACGACUUUCAUCUUUGAUUUAGGAUUUUGUUUUUGGUUUCGAUGACAUGACGUGUUGAUCUUCCAAUAUCAACCUUUGCAUGAUUAUUUCAACUGUGUUUUAUCUAACUACCGUCUUCUAUUUAAAUGUGCCCUCUUCCAUUUAGGGUAGAACAGUGUGGAGUGAGCAAGAUAUAUUGUUUAACAUUUAGACUGGGAACGUUUUAACUUUAUGUGUUUAGUGUGGAGCGAAUGCAACUGUUGUUUUGAAAAUAAGCCUUCUAGUCCUGAAUGUGGCAGAGCACCAGUGACAUGUGGAUGAUGAACGAGGACCUGUACUAGUAAAGAGGAAGAGGAACCGACAUCCCACUUCAUGGCCUUAUCCUUUACUGGCUUCUUACAGGUAAAAAUUGUAAACUUUUUUAACAAUUCAUGCUGUUAAAAUUUGUUUGACUCUGCUUUUAGAACAUUCUUCACCACAGAAGCUUUUAUGUUUUCUUUUUUAAAUCACAGACGUUUUUAAUACAAAAAAAUUGGUCUUUUCAGCCAGUGGGGAUCCUUGGACUUGCUGGAUUUGUUUUCACAUAAAACCUCUAGUCCAUGGACUAAAUUCAAACACCUUUAUAUUUGGAUGGCAUUUUUUGAAAAUGUCCUAAUGUAUUUAACUGGAAUAAAUGAACUGUUUGCUAUAAGUGGUAUAAUAGGCAAGACUUCAAUUAGUCUUUUUGUAAUUCUUUUGCAGUAUAUACUCCAGUGCUUUGUUUGCUUUCUUCAAUAGCUGCUCUCAAUAGAUAAACCUUUCUAAAAGUUCCCCUUUCUCUCACUUUCUAUUUUAAAUGCCCAAUUUUGUCUAUCUGAAACCUCUAAUCCUUGUUACCACAGUCUUGUAUUCUGCAUUUCACUGCUCAUUUGCUUGUUAUUUCAUGUUGAUCCUUUUAGGUCAAGGGCUUUUCCGCUACUUUCCUCCUACAGUCGCAAUUUUUAACACACUUUGGCAUGUUCUGUCCUCACACUAAGUGCAUUGCUCUUAUUUAACUUAAGCUGAAAAGAAAAUAAAUGUAAAAAUUAUGUAACAGAGAAGCCAAUGUUAUUAAAAAUCUCAAUGGAAAAAUGUAAUGAUUAAAUAACACAUUUUUCUUUCCUAUCCUGUAAAUAUUACAUUUUGGACAUUUACUUGGGGGGUGUGACAGUGUAGUGUUUUGUUGUACUACCUUAACGCUCCAGGGUCUUAGACUGCGAGCCAUUUAGGCAUUAAACCGAUGUGGACUUGAAAUGUUUUCUCCAUUUCUGAGUGGGUUUUCUCUGGCUACUCUGUUUUUCUCUCACAUUCAAAUGGCAUGUAAUGACGACUGUGAAUAAGGCUGAUCUGAAUGUGUGCCCUUGGAGUGCCAUCAGGGAUUGGUUUAAGUUUGCUGUACUUUUAUAAUGGAUAAAGCAUGUUUCCAAUUCUGUCGGAUCUUAGUGCAGUGUUUUUUUUUUUUUUAAUAUAUUUUAUUAAUUUUUAUUGUAAUCAUUCCAUACAAAUAGAUCAAUUUAUAACCAAACAAAUUAAAGACAAAUCAAACCCCACCCCUGAAUAGGAGAGCUUAGCUAAAGGAGAAUUGCUUAGGGCUUUUUAAUAAGAUUACAUUAAGCAAAGGAAAGGGAGAAAUAAAUAUAUAUGUAAAUAAGAGAUGGAGAAGGGAAUUAAAUGCGGUAAUAAUUAUUUCUCUUAUUCUAAAAGAAUAUUGAGCAGAUCCUGCCAGGUUUUGAAAAAAUUUUGUACAGAUCCUCUAACUGAGAAUUUGAUUUUUUCCAAUUUCAAAUAAUAAAAAACAUCGGUUUCCCACUGACUUAUCAGAGGAGAGUUAGGAUUCUUCCAAUUUAACAGAAUAAGUCUGCGUGCCAAAAGUGUAGUGAAUGCAAUCACCGUUUGCUUGUCCUUUUCCAAUUCAAGUCCGUCUGGAAGAACACCGAACACAGCUGUUAGUGGGUUAGGAGGGAUUGUGACCCCAAGGCUGUCUGAAAUGCACUUAAAAAUUUUUGUCCAAAAUGAUGUUAAUUUGGUGCAAACCCAGAACAUGUGACCCAGUGAGGCAGGAGCUUGGUUGCAGCAUUCACAGGUUGGAUCUUGCCCUGGAAACAUUUUGGACAGUUUUAAGUGAGACAGAUGAGCUCAAUACAUAAUUUUUAGUUGAAUAAUUCUAUGCUUUGCGCAUAUGGAGCUCGAGUGAUUUCUCUGCUUUGCUACCUUCCACUCCUUUUCUGAUAUAUUGAUUAAGAGAUCUUCUUCCCAAUGUCCUCUUGGAUCUUUGAAAGGUAGGGACUCUAAUAGGAUUUUAAAUAUUGCGGAAAUGGUGUUUAAUUCCUCGGCAAUGAGCAGUAUUUUUUCCAGCAUUGUGGAGGGUGCAAGGUGGGGAAAAUCGGGCAAUAUCUGUUUAACAAAAUUUCUAAUUUGAAGAUAGUGAAAGAAAUGUGUAGCUGGGAGGUUGAAUUUUGAACGUAAUUGUUCAAAAGAUGCAAAUAUGUUGUUUAUAUAAAGAUCUCUGAGCAUUUUAAUCCCAAAACUUUUCCAGGUAUUAAAAACUGGAUAUGUUUGCGAGGGUUGAAAGAGGUGGUUUUCUUGCAGAGGUGCCACCAAUAAAAGAUUUUCCAUCUUAAAAUGCUUUCUAAUUUGGUUCCAUAUUCUAAGUGAGUAAAGCACAAUUGGGUUAUUAGUAUAUUUGCGAUAACUUGCAUUUAUUGGAGAGCAGAGCCGGGAGUAUAAAGAAGUACUACAGGAUUUUAUUUCUAUUGCGGACCAGGCCUGAGUAUGUUCAUUUAUUUGUGUCCUGGUUUUUAUGGCUUGUAUGUUUGCUGCCCAGUAAUAAAACUGAAAAUUAGGUAGAGCCAUGCCACCUUCUGCCUGAGGUCUUUGUAGGGUUGCUCUUCGGAUACGUGGGUGUUUUGAGUUCCAAAUGAAUGAGGUUAUUGUUGAAUCUAAUUGCUUAAAAAAUGAUUUAUUGAUAUAUAUUGGAAUGUUUUGAAAUAAAAAAAGAAGUUUAGGAAGAAUAUUCAUCUUAACAAUGUUAAUUCUUCCGGCUAGAGUGAGAUAAGGGGUUGACCAUCUAUCCAGGUCUUGCUUAAUUUUUUCCAUACAGACGGCAAAAUUUUGUUGAUAAAGAGCUUUAUGUUUACUUGUGAUAUUUACCCCUAGGUAUUUAAACUGAUCUGCUAUGGUAAAAGGUAGGGUGUCCGAUCUGAUAUUAUAUGCUUGUGAAUUCACUGGAAAGAGUAUACUUUUAUUCAGAUUAAUUCUAAGACCAGAUAUCUUUUGAAAUUCUGUUAGUGCUGUUAGAACUGCAGGCCCAUAUCAUCUGCAUAUAGAGAAAUUUUCUGUUCCAGUCCUUCUCUGACAAUCCCCUUUAUCUGAUAAGAAUUUUGACAGUGAACCGCCAGUGGUUCAAUGGCGAUUGCAAACAGCAGUGGUGACAAGGGACAUCCUUGUCUGGUGCCACGUUCUAGUUUAAAGUAGUCUGAGCAAAUGUUAUUAAUACAAACUGAAGCUUCUGGACUGGUAUACAGUAGUUUGAUCCAUGCACAAAUAUUCGGGCCAACCCAAAUUUCUCCAAUGCA